AGAUGGAUUUGGAUGGAGAAGUGUGGUGAUGGGAUAUGGAAGUGGAUUCAUAGUUGGGAUUGGAAUUGGUUACAUCAUUAUUAGAAAUGGAAGGCCAAGAUGGUUAGUGGAAUUCUUUUUCGGCAUUGGAUAUAAUAAUAAUAAGAAGAAGAGACGCAGCAGAGCUACACCAACACCAACACGCAGGAGAACUUAAUUGAAGGAUUGUGCUCGAAUUGUGUUUUCUUUUUCUUAUCUCCUUUUUAAUGGCUACUUUAGUGUGUUUGUGCUCGAUUUCAACUUUAGAGUUUAUGAAAUAUUGUUGUUUGUUCGUGUUGUUAUGUCUUGAAUCUCCCGCUUCGAACUACGGGGCUCUCGCUGAGAUCUAUAAAUACUAUAAAUACUUGAGAUCUGUAAUCUGUAACCCUAGCCGCAUAAUAAAAUCUGUCAUCCUCUCUGUCCGUGGAUGUAGCCAUAUUGGUGAACCACGUAAAUAUGUGUCUUCUUUACGUUUUCUGUUUGAUUGUGCUCUUUAAAUCCUAUUCUGUCACAACAGUUCGAAUAUGUUAUGUUUUAAUUUCAUCUCGUUUAGGUAAUUUUUUUUAGAUAUAUUAAAACAGUUUUGUGAUUUUUUAGGUAGUUUUAAAUUUUUAGAUUAAUGUCAUCACGUGAAUAGGUAGCUUUAAAACAGUUUUGGAUUUAUUCAAGCAAAAAUACUACACGUGAAUCUAGUUGGAACAGAUUCUGUUAAGCCUCAAAACAUUACCUCAAAACAUUUAUCGGAUUCUGUUAAGCCUAUAAAUCGUUGGUUUGUAUUUGUUGCUUAAUUUAUAAAUAAUGUUUUAUACAUUUUUUCUUUUGGCUCUUGUUUUUUUAAUUAAUUUAAUCAAUUACAAAAUAUCUUACUUCUUAUGUCGAGAGCAUAUUGCAGGAGUCUCUUGUUUAAUUAAGUAAUCAAAUAGUAAUACUUUUCAAUUAUAACAAUAAAAAUCUUAAGGUUGCGAACAUUGCAUAUUCUGUUUAAUUAGUAUCAAACCUUGUGACCUAUUAAAGACGGAGUUAAUAUAUUAAGUUAAUAGUUUUUUAAUGUCAUACUCUUUUUCUUAGAGAAUUACUAAUAGUCAAAAUUUAUUUUAGCUUGCAAUAUAAAUGGCAUCAGCUAGGCUUCUUGUUUGUGCACAAAAUUACAAUUAGCACUCUGCAUUUUCAGUAUGGGGAGAGUUUCCCCAUUUUUCCUACUCAUAUUGUUUUCUUGUCUUAGCCUCAUCAAAUCAAAAGUGAUGAAUAUUCACUUCUUGCUUCAAAUCCCUCAUCACUUUAGAUCCUCACAAACUAUACCUAUUAUAAAAGAGCCUUAUUUUACAAAAUUUGAUUUGCUAUUGUAUCCCUCAUAUAUACUUAAUAUAAAGUUAAUUAUGUAAUUUAAUAUAUUAUACAUAUAAUAAAUCUAAAAAUAUGUAUUAUUGUUUAUCUUUUAUAUUUUAAUAGUUAUUUAAGUAGUAGUAUCGAUUAGGACUCUUCAUCCACAUAAGUUACUAUGUUUUAUUAAUGUAAAUUUAAUAAUUCGGAAUGACAAUACAAAUGAUUACUUUUAGAAGUUUAAGUUUACUAGAAUCCUUGUAAUUAAAAUUAAUAAUGUAAAGAUGAAACCUAGAAAAUAAACAUGACGACAAAAUGGGGUGAUAUUUAAUUAUAAAAUUAUUUUUUAUACUCCCUCCGUCCCACGAAUCUUGACACAUUUCUGGGUCCCAAAUUACAUUUCUCAUUAUUAUUACUUCUCUCUCCUACUUUAUCAUUUUUAUACUUUAUUAACUACACACUUAAAAUACUAAUCUACAACUCCUUAAUUCCCGUGCCGAAACAAACGUGUCAAAGAUUCGUGGAGGAGGGAGUACUAAUUUACAUGAUUUUGUUUUCAUUUUAUGAAUUCUACAAAAUUAUACUUUUACAAAAUUAUACGAUAAUUAAUUCAAAAAAUAUAUUAAAAUAAUAAAUAUUACUAUGAAAUGAAAUAUAAAUUUACACUCAUAAAAUAUACUCAUUCAUUAAAAUAAUUUCUUCUUAUAUGCAAAGAGGCAGACUUUUCACACUCGCCUCUACCAAAAACAGAACAGAACCCAUCUUAAGCCAAUUCUACCUCAAGAAAAACCUUUAAAAUUUCAUUACUCACAUCUCAAACUGCUCUACACAUAUAAUUCUUGAUGAGAUAUUCCACAUCUUCAAUCAAUAAUCUCAUCAAAUCGAUCACUAAACAAUCAAUGGGAACCAAAAAUGUGGAAAUUAAUGUACAAUAUGCAUCUUAAAUGACUGAAUUCAUAAAUUCUUAUCAUUCAUCAUCUUUGGACUUGGUAGCAUUAAAGGAGCCUUCUUCAUCAAUGGAGCUUUCAUCAUCAAAGGAGCCUUCUUCAUCAAUGGAGCCUUCUUCAGCAGCAUGAACACCCACAGCAUCUGUGGUAUCACGAGGUGAAUACACAAAUUUUUUUAUAUCUGAACUAUCAUCCAAAACAAACACAUCAUGAAAUUCUUUAGGCAUAUCAAUCUAUACCAUAAUAAGACUAUAAGACUGAGCUAGUUUGAAUACAAAUCAAAUUAAAUCACAAAUCUAAUCUAUCUAUACUAAUAGAAAAAGUGUCUUGAGUACAAAAUAUUAUAUUAAAUCUAUUUGUAGGAAUAUAUUAAUUCAUUCAAUAUUAUACUAAAUCUAUUUGAUAUAAAUCUGUAGCCAUUUGAUAAGACUUAUAAAUAAAUAUCUAUAUCCAAUAAAAUAUAUUUAGAAUAAUAUAUAUAUUGAUUCAUUGAACCUCAAUGAAAUUCCACAGAGCCUCGGAAAACGACUCCAGAGACUGGAAGUAGAGCGUCUUCGCGAUUCGGCCGUUGAGUCUGCCAGGGAGAUUGGAAAAUCAAAGAAUGGAGCUCAAAAAGGGAAAUUUGCGGUCGAUUUCCAUCUCGUAGUAGGUCCCGUUUCUGAGGCCCAUAAACCCACAUCUAAUUAGGUUGUUGCAGUUGCUCUUAUAUCUACUCAUUCAGGGGUCAAGGAUAUGCUUGUUAUAAUCAUACAUGUUUUCUCUUUUUACCCGAGAGUGAUGCGUUUUUUUCGGUUGUAUUCCUGUGUAAGACUAAUUUUCGAACACAUAAAUAUGUUAUGGUACAAAGGGAGUAAAAAUUCUCAUGCCGAAAAGAAAGUAAACACUUGUUAUGGUACGAAGGGAGGAAAAAAAUUCGGCUAUAUUAUAGGAUUAAUACUAAUUGUAUUGAUUUAUUAUAUGAGGUUAGAUUAUGAGUAAUUUAAUAGAAUAGAUAAGAAUGAAAAAGAAAUUUAAUAGAAUAGGCGAUGCUAUAUUAUAAGAUAGAUACAAUCUUUCGAGUUGAAUUAGAAAUCCACGAUAUCAAAUCUAUUUGAUAAAUAUAUGAUAUAAUAUGUAAUCAGUCCCUUUUGAGUUGAAUUAGGAAUCCUUUAUAACUAAUACAAGCUAACUAUAAAAAUGUAGACAUAUCAAGAUCCAGUCAAUAAAUUAAACUCCACACAUACAAAAGGUAUUUGGUUGAGUUUAUAAGCUUCUUAAAACACCAUAUUAGUUGCUCCCUUCGUCCCAACCAAGUUAAGUCGUAUUCCUUUUCGGGUCAUUCCAAUGAAAUUGUCAGAAUUGGAUAUUGAUAGUGCUAGCCGAGAGGGCCAGAUUGUUCGAUUUCAAAAGCAGAGGAGAACCCACAGCCUCACUUCCACAUUCAUUUCUUCAUCUCUCAAAACUUUUUUCAUUCCAUACAUUUAUUCAUGUUGAGUUUGCAUUUCUGUUGCAUUUGUGAGUGUUUUUCCAUAUGUUGUCUGCUUAACUGGUAGUGUGUUGAUGAACAAACUUAGGGCACUCUUUUCCUCGAUUUGUCGCGAGGUUUUUAAUGAGGCCUGCACCCUACACGAGCCACGAUUUGGGGGUAUAAUAGCAUUCAUCAAAUAAAGCAUACAAAUAUUACUGAAUAUCUGAGCAAGAAUGGAUAGAAAUUGUAUUACUAAACAAGGAUGGAUCAAUAUUUGGUUUGUUCAACAAUGGAUGUAGAUAAUGUAGCUCCAAUCCAAGAACAUUAAGAACAUGAUGUUGUAAGAAUUGCAGAUCAAUGGAGAAUCCCCAUACUCUCUCUUUCAUUAUUCCUUCAUCUUCUACUUGUGAAAGAAUCUGUUGGUAGAGAAGGGAUUCCAAUAAGUCCUCAAAUUCCCAAAUCAAAUCUUUGAUUCUUCCAUCCAAACCAUUCACUUUUGCUUGUGCUGUCCAAUUCUUCCAGAAUAUAUUGCAAUGGAUACAGCUCGAGUUGUACGAUAUGGGGAGAGGGAUCAACGAGGCUAAAAUGAGAAGAAUUGAGAAUAUAACCAAUUGUAUUCCUCAGAGAAUUCACAGUUUUCAUCCAUACAUAAUCCACUCAGCUUAUAAUACAUAAACAUGGUGUCUCACCUUUCCGACCCUGUUAUACAUAUCCUCAGCUAUCAUACCAAUUCCUGAAAAUUAAUACAUAAAUAUAGGGUGUGAGCAUACAAUACAUAAAUAUUCAGAGGAUAAUUAAUUAGUCAUUUUGUGUUGUGUGUCGAAGUUGUAGCAACCCACAAUGAACCUACACACACCCACACAUAUUGGAACAACACCUCCCUUAGUUUAAUUACUUGUGAAAAUUAUCAUCUAUUGACUAACUAAUAAGAAAAACAAAGGUAGCAACGUAAAACACCUUGACCAAAAAAGAAUACUAUUUUCUAGCAUCAAAAUUUGAAUUAAUUAAGUAUAUUUUGAACAUAGUUAGAAUACGAAAUCCCAUAAUUCACUUGAAAUAUAUAAGAAGACUAGAACAUGAAUUGAUCAGCAGUUGCAGGACUAACCUUCGAAACUUGAUAGUAAUGGGUUUCUCGUCAAAGGAAGAAGAGGCAGUAACAUCAGUGAAAGUCUCUGCAUUCUGUCGUAAUUGAUUGGCCAAGUCACAACUACAGGAUUGCAGCUCUCUAAUUCAAUCACUCCGGACCAAACUUUAGACGGCGAGUGGAUCUCUUUUAGUUUGUAGCAAUGUUUCAAGCUUAGGUAUUCAAGAACAGGGAAGCUUCCAUCUCUUAGCUUCCAUUGCACCAAAUCACUAUCUUCAAUUAGAAGAAACUCAAGUCUCAAAAAACAUCCCUCUUGCACUUCCCACUUUGAACCCCGAAAGGCGUAGGCUCGCAAUUUGAGUACUUCAAGACAUGGCAAAGAGCCAAUUACAUCCAUGUAUUCCCAAGGAAAACACAUACCACUCAAAUGUAACUUUUUCAAUCCAGGUGGAAAGAUUAUCAACGAACUAGGAAACACAUAAUCGUACUUAGCCACAGGAUUCGUGAUACUACAUUUCAAUGUCUCCAAACUUUCAAGUGUUGAAAUACAGCCAAAACAACUCAAAAGGUCGUUAUGGUCAUCAUAAGGUGUAAGCUCGAUCUGAACUCCUAAUUUCCUUAUACAAGGAAAUUUCCAGGAGUGUUCCAAGAUAGUGCAAAUGCUGGCAUUCACACCUAAAAGUAUUGAGAGGUUUUCUAAAGAAUCGGAAUGAGAUGGAGCUACAAGGCACUUCCCCAAUAUCUCAAUAUGCUCCAACUCUUGCAUUUCCCAUAUUUCUAUUGGUACAUAUGAUGGAGCUCCACACAUUCUAAUGUUGUUAUGCGGAUGUAUAAUCAAGACUCGAAGAUUGAAAAGUUUGGAUAUGGUUGGAGGGAAUUCACCGUUGCAAGUUAGAGCAAGGUACUUUAGUAGGACUAGUGUCAGAAUUUUUGUUGGGAAAGUGUACAAACGUAGAUUAAGAGCAUCUAGUUUCCCAAGCAACUUGAAAUCGUCACCUAUUGGGAUUGGAUAUUGAUGGUAUGGGCCAAAGAAAAGGAGAGAACGUGCAGAGGAUGCACAGUUCAAUCUCAUGGAAAAGCAAAAGUACUUUGAUGCUAAAUAAAAGGUUAUUUUCAAGACACAAGCAACGCUGACCUUUUACACCAUCUUCUAAGACUUCAACAAGCUUUUUUAUGACAUGAUAAAACUUGUUCUUCCGAGCCUCUCCUCUGCACACGUGCCUCCACGAAGAAUGAAGCCGACAAGUUUUAUAGAAAAAACUGAUCCUUUCAUUGCAUAAAACAAGAUUCUUACGCGUACAAAGCUGGUUCAAGCAUCGCUGGACAGAAUCUUUCAAAGAAUCUUCUUUGUUUAUGUUAUGAUACCAACCCUCAGUAGCCAACAUAUUCAUGAACUUGGAUAUUGGGAUGUCAUAAUCUGGAGGGAACACUCCCAUAUACAGAAAAAGUACUUUAAAAUAUUGAGGUAAGUAAUCGUAACUUGGGAAAAGUACCUUUGUAAUUUGAUUAUAUGCAUCAGUGAAGACUGAAUUUCGCAUUUCUGCAACAUCGUCCCAGUAUUUUGGGUCUGUAUUCUGGGCUUUCGAUAUGAUGUCAGCCACUGUGACUAUCGUGAGAGGAAGACCUUCACAUUUCUUGGCUAUUUUGGUAGCGGCUUUGUCAAGUGAAAAGGGCAAUCCUUUUCACCAAACACCUUCUCACAUAGUAGCUCCUUACUUUCUUCUUCGUUCAAAAACCGCACCAACAUACAUAUAAUAGGAAAGCUUGGGGAGGCUGAGUUUAUGUCUCGAGUAGUAACCAAGACAUAAAUAUUUUCAUAAUCGAUGUCCAGUAAGGAAAUGAACAAGGAAUCCAAUAUCUGUGUCUCCCACACAUCAUCGAGCACAAUGAGGCAUUUCUUUCUCACCAAUCUUUCUUUCAUGUAGGCGCCUAACUCGCGAUCUCCUUGUGUGAUUCCAAACAUUUGAGCAAGAAUGCCUCGUGAAACAUCAUCGAAUUGAGAUUUUCUGCCUACCCUGACCCAUGCGCGAUGUUCAAAAAGCUAGAGAUAUCAUGAUCUUCAAAAACUGCCUUAGCAAGAGCAGUCUUCCCCACCCCUGCAUUCCAACAAGAUAAAUAAAUAAUCCUCAUGAUAAAACUUUUAAUAAGUCUCCUUUGAGUUGUUGGAAUGAUCCGAAAUCCAAUCAACUUCGACUUGGUCCCAAUUGUUGAGGAAAUAGAUUCUUCCUCAUCGUCAUCUUCAGGCAUAUUGUCUACUUCAUAAAUGUAUUCCUUCUCCAUAUUCUUGACCCUCUCGAUGAAUAAACGAGCAUCAUCUUCUAGGCAGUGCAGAUCAAUGGAGAAUCUCUCACCUCCAUUGAUGUUGUGCAGUACUCUCUUUUUCAUUUCUUCAUACACUUGGUCUGCACGAAUUUGUGAAUGAAUCUGUUGAUAGAGAAGGGAUUCUAAUAAGUCUUCGAAUUCCCAUAUCAAAUCCUUGAUCAUUCCAUCCAAAGCAUUCACCUUCUUUCUGCUCUUGCUUGUUCUUGUUUUAUCUAAUCUUUCAAGAAUUUCUUGCAAUGGAUUCAACUCCUCGUAGGCGAGUUUUAAAAUAUGUGGAGAGGUCUCAACAAGACUAAAAUGAGAAGAAUGGAGAAUAUAAUCAAUCGUAUUCCCUAGAGAAAUCACUGCGCCAUAUGCCGUCAUUGGUGGCGGCGGCGGCGGCGAGAUGAAGUCGGCAGUUUGAAAUAUUAAAAUAAAACAAUACCUGCUCAAUUAUUUAAGCUAACGAUUAAUUCAAGGAAAGAAACAAUAUUUUUAUUAAUGUUAUGAUACCAGCCCUCAGUAGCCAACAUAUUCAUGAACUUGGAUAUUGGGAUGUCAUAAUCCGGAGGGAACACUCCCAUAUACAGAAAAAAGUAAUUUAAAAUAUUGAGGUAAGUAAUCGCAACUUGGGAAAAGUACCUUUGUAAGUUGAUUAUAUGCAUCGGUGAAGACUGAAUUUCGCAUUUCUGCAACAUCGUCCCAGUAUUUUGGAUCUGUAUUCUGGACUUUUGAUAUGAUGUCAGCCACUGUGACUAUCGUGAAAAAAUAAAUUAAUUCUCAUGGACCAAUCAGUUGUAGGAUACGUGAAUGGAGUGGAUGUAAUGUAUCCAAAUUUUCACGUACUUUAUCGAUAGUUAGCAUUGCAAGAGUCGCUUAAGUUUUUUUAAAAUAUAAAAUAAUCCAAGAAUAUGAGCAACUAAAAUACACACACGAAUCAUCUUUCCCAGGAUGCCAUUGUAUCUCACCUUCCUCUCAUUUCUCAGAAAACAAAUUCGUUUUGCCUAUUUCCGCCACUUACUUCUCUUACUUCUUAUUCUAUAUAAAAAUCAAGAUUCGAUUAUUCUUAUUUUUUAAAUUAAAAUUUAUAAUUUACUCUUUUGGCAUGAAUUAUUUUAAUUUUGUAGUUUUUAUUGUUGUUUAAAAUUUUGUUAAAGAUUAAUUGUUUUCAUUUAAGAUAUUAUUGUGACUCACUGGCGGAGCCAGGGGGGCAGUGGGGUCACUGGACCCCCCUGAGAUUUUAUGAUUUUCGUAGGGGUAUUAUGGUAAUUUUCAAAUAUAUAUUAAUAAAGAAGAAAAAAUAUGGUUUUGGGAUUAAUUUUCAGUUGGAAUACACUAGCCUCUGAAAGUUUCCACACACUUGUGUCUUCCCUCUCUCAAUCGUCGGCAUUCCCGAAUAUGACCGGCUUCGUCGUGCCGUUGAUUGGCUUCGCUUUUCGCCGACAAGUUCUGUAUCGCCGCCGCGUCGCUGACUGGCUUCCUGCAAGAUAGCUUGCUCUGUUGCUCCGUAUCUAUCCUCUCAAUUGCUCAUAUAAUUGUUAAUUUGUUGACAAAAAACUAAUUAGUAGCUUUAAUCAUUGUGGAUAAUUCAGAUAUUGGUAGCUCUAAUUUAACUUGAACUUAUGCGAAUUUAGCUUGAACUUGACAGAGAACAUUGUGCUAAACUCAUUAGUAGCUUUAAAUCAUCUGCGAAUUCAAACAUUGACAGAGAACAUUGUGCUGAAUUUAACUUGAACUUAUGUUUCAGAUUUAAUUCCUUUAAGUUGUAUGUGGCCACCAGUUUAUUGUAUGCGAAUUUUUAAGUUUCAGAUUUAAUUGUCAUGUUGUACAAUGAUUAAAUAAUCUAGAAAUAUAUAUAAAAAAAAGUAAAGUUAAAGGGAAAAAAAUUCCUUGUUAAAAUUAAGACCAAUAAAAAAAAAUCCUUAAAUACACUAUUACACAUGUAGGACACACACAUCUUUAUCUUAAUUUUAUUCAUCUUAAUUUUCAUGUCAAAAAAACACGUACUAUGAAUAAUGGGACGAAAAGGGUAUUAUUUAUUUUUUAUUAAUUAUUUAUGUAUUAUUUAAUUAUUAAUUUUAUUAAAAAAAAUUGGACCCCCCUAAGACAAAAGUCUGGCUCCGCCCAGACUCACGUUAACUCAAUCUUCACAUGGCAGGCAACAAUUUGGGAGACACGGUGCGUACACAAAUUGGCAACAUCACGUGACACACAUUUUGUCUUUUGCUUCAGCAAAGUCUACGUGGGAUCCUCUGUCUUAUCAGAACAUAGUGUGUACCUACGUAUAUCACUCUUAUUAUAAUUUUUAAUUAUUUUUUAUUUAAUUUUAACUUAUUAUGCUUUAAAAUACUAUAAAGAUAAUUAACAAUGGUUCAAUCAUUCAAUUAGGGUUUAUAAUUAUUUUUUUAUAUUUAUUUGAAUUAAUAAUAGAUUAUUUGGGUUCAUUAAUUAAUUUAAAGUCAGAGUAUAUAAUUUUUUAAAUUCUAAUUUUUUAAUGAUAAAUAUUAAUUAGAGUUCAUAAUUUAAUAAUUAUUUUUAUUUUUAUAAAAUACAAUUAUUUUCUAUUCAUUUCUCAAGCUUCUUUCAUUUUUCAUUUGUGGGACCCAAAAAUGCAGCUGUAUUCGAUGUAGUUUCAUUUUCACUUGUAAAUAGUCUUUGUCGCUUUUGCCUCCAAAACUCUUAUUUUCUUCUUAAUUCUUUGCUCCAUUCACACUCCAAUUAAUUAAUUAAAAUUGAUUGGAGAAGUUCAUACAUUUUUCCCAUGGGACUUAGAAAAGAUUAUUUUAGCUUUAAAUAAAAGGGCAUCUACUACAAUUAGCACUCUGCAUUUACAAUAUGAAGAGAGUUUCCCCAUUUUUCCUACUUUCCCUACUCUUGUGGUUUUCUUGUGUUAGCCUUGCUAACACAGAUCAAAUCAAAAGUGAUGAAUCUUCACUUUUUGCCUUCAAAUCCCGCAUCACUUCAGAUCCUUCCAAUAUUUUAAAAAAUAAUUGGACCACCGGCACCUCUAUCUGCACGUGGAUGGGAGUUACUUGUGAUUCACGUUAUAGUAGGGUGACUGCUUUAGAUCUCUCGAAUAUGGGACUCGAAGGCAGCAUCCCACCAGAAAUCGUAAAUCUUUCUUCUCUUGUUUCUCUAAAUUUGAGUGGGAACUCUCUUCAUGGCCCCCUACCAAAGGACAUUUGCAGGCACAACAACCUUCAAAGACUCAAAGAACUUUAUCUACACGAUAACAAUUUGGAGGGGGAGAUACCAUUGAGUUUGGGUGAAUGUCCACAACUUGAGAGUAUUUACUUGUCACACAACAACAUUGGUGGACAUGUGCCUACACAAAUUGGGAACAUCACACAACUUAAGGAAUUAGGCCUUUCAAACAACAAUCUAAGCGGUAUGAUCUUUUCGUUUCUGUAGGAUAUCAUGAAGAGGCACUCUCCCAUGCAACCGGUUGCACCCUGCAACUGGUUUCUGAAUGACACUGCUUCAACAUACAAAUGACACUUGAAGAAGUAGUGUCAUUCGGAAAUGUUCAAUUGUCGAAACCAGUUAUACGGUGCAACCGGUUGCACAAGAGUAUUUGUGUAUCAUGAAACGACUUGAUCAUAUAUGUCAUUCACUGGCUUUCACAUGUUUUGUUUUCAAGAUCCCCAUUUGUUACGGUUAUCCAUUAAUUUCUCUUGCUUGUAUUUACGUCGUUUUAUAUUUGGUGUCUUCAUUAUUCUCCAGGUUCUAUUCCGAAAGAGAUUGGAAAUCUUCAUUAUUUACAGAUCAUGAAGUUGGAUUCCAACAAACUUAGCGGAUCAAUCCCGAGAGAAGUGUGGAACAUGACAGGUCUUUACACCUUGCUGCUCGACGAUAAUAGUUUAAGUGGUAUGAUUUUGUGAUGAUUUGGAUAUUUCAUAUUUGUAGGAGUCAUUCCACAAGAGAUUCACCAUCUUCAUGAUUUAGCUCGUGAGUUAAAAUCUUUUUGUGAUGAUUUGGAUAUUUGUAGGAGUCAUUCCACAAGAGAUUCACCAUCUUCAUGAUUUACAAUGGUUGGACUUGAGUUCGAACAAGUUGUCAGGCACUUUGCCACCAACCAUUUUCAACAUGUCUUCCUUCACAGUGAUUGACUUAUCAAGAAACAUGUUUAGCGGGUUAUUGCCUUCAGAAAUUGGAAACAACAAGAAAAGAGUACCACUUAUUUUACACCUUGAAAACAAUGCUUUAAUUGGUAAGAUUUGUAACUCUUGUAGGGUUUUAAACAUAUUCAACUGCUUCUUUUCAUGUCUAUAUAACAUAUUCAACUCUUGAAAUUUUCCAUAUAGCAUUUAUUAGAAUUAGUCAUAUAUUGGGUUGGUAGUAGUCAUAUAUUGUGUUGUUAUUUUAUGUUAUUCAUAAUUUCUCCUCUUUUCAGGUCCGAUACCAUCUACUAUUGGAAACCUAUCAAGUUUGUACUACUUGAAUCUUGGUUCCAACAAAUUUAAUGGUGAUCACUCAUCCUCUAUCUGCAACUUGACAUAUGCUUACAUAGAGUAACAUAGUCGAUUUUAGUAAGAUAUUGCUAUGUGCAUUUUUUUAUGCAAAGAAAUUUUAUCUGCAUUUUUAGGCACACCAUUUCUUAUACAUAUAUCUACUUAUCUUUUAUAUGAAUAUUUAUUUUUAUUCCAACACAGUUACAUGAGCUUAUCAAAUAAGAUUAGUGGCAUCUCAUCAUACUUAAUAAUAAUAAUAAUGUAUUAUUCGGACACAAGUUUAGUAACAUGUUGUCUAAUAGUUGGUAGGAGUCAUACAUUGUGUAUGUUAUGGAUUAAUUUAUCCUGAUCUUUUCAGGUCCAAUACCAUCUACCAUUGGAAACCUAUCAAAUUUGUACAGCUUGAAUCUUGGUUCCAACGAAUUUGAUGGUGAGCUUUCAUCUUCCAUCUGCAACAUGACAUUAGUACAUCACAGUUUGGAAGGAUCAAUUGCACAUUAGAAAACUUUGAAUUUCAUUUAAACAAACCAGUUCCAUCAAUUUAAGUGCUAAUAAAUUGCAAGUGCCCUUACCUAAAUCCUUGAUCAAUUGUCAAAGUCUUAUGGUAGUGUUUUUCACAAAUUUAUAAAUGACUUUUCCAUAUAGCAUUCAUAAGGACUAAUAAGAAAUAUGAACUACUUUGAAUUAAAUAAAUAUACUAUAUUUAAAAAGAAUGCAAUGCAUUCGUCAUUAAUGUUAAACAAGAUGCUAAACUUUAUGUAUGCCAAUGUAAAUGUCUAGUUCAAAUAACAUACAUAUGCUUUAUAUAGAGUAAAAUAGUCGAUGUUGGUAAAAUGCUUAGUGCAUUUUUAGACAUAAAUAAAUUUGAUUCAUAUCCUUCUCUAUCUUUCAAAUAAUAAAUUUAAAGGUCUCGUACUAACUUUCAGGUCAAAUACCAUCUACCAUUGGGAAACUACCAUUGAGUAUUCUACAACUCUCUUCCAACAAAUUAAUCGGUGAGCUUCCUUCAUCCAUCUGUAACAUGACAUCCCUUGGUACUCUUCUUCUCUCAAACAACACUUUGGAAGGAGCAAUUCCACGAUGCUUUGGAAACUUGAGCUCUUUGAUCAUCUUUCAUUUAAAUGAAAAUCAGUUCAGUGGUCUCAUUCCAUCAACAUUUAGCAAGGGGUGUAGUCUUGUGUCCAUCAAUUUGAAUGAUAAUAAAUUGCAAGGACCAUUGCCUAAAUCCUUGAUCAAUUGUCGAAGUCUACAAGGCCUCGACGUUGGAAAUAAUAGAAUACAAGACGAAUUUCCCUUCUGGAUGGAAGUCCUUCCAGACCUUCGAGUGUUGAUCUUGAGGUCUAACAAGUUUUAUGGUAACAUGUCACUUCCUUCACAAACCAAUAUUCCAUUUCAUAAUUUGCAAGUUUUAGAUAUAUCUCAGAAUAGAUUUGUGGGCUCUCUGCCUCAAGGAUAUUUCAAGAAUUUCAGAGCAAUGAUAGAGGUAAAUGAAAUAAGCUUGUCAACUAACGACACCUUCUUUAAAGUUUAUGUGGAGAUGAGGCUCACCUUGAAAGGUCUGGAUCAAUUAUUACAGAGAUUGUUGUCAGCCUUUACAACAAUUGACUUAUCCUCCAAUAGGUUUUCUGGGAGUAUUCCAAAUAAUAUAGGAAAUCUUAAGAUUCUCAAAUACUUGAAUUUGUCACACAAUAACCUCAUAGGAAAUAUACCUUCAUCUCUUGGAAGUAUGAGUGAACUUGAAUCCUUGGACUUGUCAGUGAACAAGUUGGAUGGAGAAAUUCCAAGUGAAUUGACAAGCUUGACAUUUCUUUCAACAUUAAACCUUUCAAUGAAUAAUCUUGUUGGAAAAAACCACAAUUACUCAGUUUUCCACAUUUGAGAAUAACUCAUAUGAGGGAAAUGUAGGAUUGUGUGGAUUUCCUUUGAUAAGAAAAUGCAUGUGGAGAAUGGGCAGCGGCUGCACCAGAAGAAGAAGAUGAUGAGUAUGGAUUUAUAGAUGGAUUUGGUGGAGAAGUGUGGUGAUGGGUAUGGAAGUGGAUUCUAGUUGGAUUGGAAUUGGUUACAUAUAUUAGAAAUGGAAGGCCAAGAUGGUUAGUGGAAUUCUUUUUCGGCAUUGGAUAUAUAAUUAUAAGAUGAAGAAGAGAAGCAGCAGAGCUACACCAACACCAACACGAACACCAACACGCAAGAGAACUCAUUUGGAACUUAGUGUGUUUUGCUCGAAUUCAACUUUAGAGUUUAUGAAAUGUUGUUGUAUAUUCGAAUCUGUUAAGUUCUAUUUUAUCUUUAGGUCAUUGUUUAAAUUGACUAGUUUUGUACUUUUUUUGUUUAGAGACGGAUCCCCAACACGGGUCGUCACGUACGACGGAUUUAACGACAGAAAUAUGGGUUCGGUCGGGUCUGCUUUUGAGACGGAAUUUAAGACGGAAUUUACGUCUCAAAAUUCUAAAGACGGAUAUUUUCCGUCUUAAAUUUUAAUUUAGAAUUAAUAAUAAUAAAUUUAAAAGUUAACGACAGAUAACUUCCGUCUCAAAAUUUAUUUUAGAAUUAAUAAUAAUAAUAAUAAAAUUAACGACGGAUUAUUUCCGUCUCAAAGAUUAAUUUAAAAUUUAUAAUAAUUAAAUUGAAAUCUAACGACAGAUUUAUUCCGUCUCAAAAUUUAAUUCACGCUUUUCAGCGCCAGAUUUCUUUCUCUUUUCUCCACUUCUUUUUCCCUAAAAUCCUAAAUCCCUACCGCCUCCAGCCACCCCACCGCCGUCCACAACCUUCACCGUUCACCGUCCUCCGCCUCCACCAGCUAUUGCCGCUGAGGAACACCUUCGCAGCCCGCGCCGUCAGCCUCUACCUCCGCAACGUCUGCAAUCUACAAUUCGAAGAAGAACCGAAAGCGCCCCUCCGCCGCCGCCGCCGCAGCCUAUUUUGUUUCGGCUGGAGUUAAAGGUAUGGCUUAUUCCGUUCAAUUUCUGUUUCGCCGCAGCCUAUUUACAAUUUCUGUUGCUUAAAGUUCAAAUGUGGCUUAUUCCGUUCAAUUUUUGUCCCAGCCUCCAAUCGCCACCACCGCCUCGGCCCUCCGGCCUCAUCCUCAGCCGUCGCCGGUCCUUCCCUGACCCCGUUGCUGCCUUCCUCUUCAGGUAAGUUUGUUGCCUCAAUUUGAGGAUGAUUUGUGUGUUUUAACGUGAAGAAGUUGAUUCCAAAUGUGACAAACUUAUAUUGAAAUCUUUCUGUUAAUGAUUUUUUUUGACGUGAUUUAUAAUUGGUAUCUCUAAAAUAUUAUUCUGUUAAUGAUGAAGGAUAGAGGGAGCCAUGUAAAUGUGGAGGUGGAGCUCUAGUCUAUACCUCUCACUUGGAUUCUUAGAUUCUAUUAUUUCGUUGUUGUAAUGACAAGGUUGUAAAAUUUGUUAAAUUGCAGAAUUAUACUCACACAGCAGGGGCCACCGUUAUACAUCAGUUUUGUCAUAUUGGUUCUUUUUCUUUCAUUGGUGGUGGGUCAGUGGUAAGGACUUAUGCUCAGAAUAUUCUUGAUUGUAGUGAUAAUUUUCUUUUUAAUGAGCAGUGAAGCAUGCAAUAAAAUGAACUUCCUUGUUGAUGUGCAGUUCUCUUAUCUUCUUGUUGAAUCUUGACUAAGAGGGUGUGUGGCUGAGCUCAUAAGCUCUUUAAAAAAGCUUAUGAUAAUAGCACUUGACAUUUCUCUUUGUACAGUGGUUGCUUAUGACACAUUAUUUUUAUAACUAUAUUUUGGCAGUGAUUUUGGAGAGCUGAAAACGUUUGAAAAUUCCGAUUGUUUAAUUGGCUUCCAUUGAAUACAUGCCAUGCCAGAACUGAUGGUGUUUGAUGAUAUAUGAUUGUUUGCUCACACCUCAUUUUUAUUUGAUCUCUUUGACGUACCUUGAAGGUUUCUCAAGAUGUACCCAAAUACACAAUGGUCUGUGGUGAACGAGCUGAGCUGCGUGGAUUAAAUCUCGAAGGCCUAAGGCGCCGUGGGUUUUCAGUUGGGGAGGUUGGUUUUCGGUCAGUUCAUAAUGCACUUAUUGCAUGUGAUAGUUUAGUUAUUCUCUAAUGUGAUUUCCAUUAAGUGAAUUAAAUUUUAUAGAUCUUCAUCUUCCUCCUUUCUAACUACUGUUCCCUGAAAUUGUCGGAUCCAGAAUCAGUUUCUAUCUGAUCUUUAGGACUUUACGAGAAAAUCCAACUAAGUUUUUGUGCACUCGAUACUGAUUUCCUAUGUUUUAUCAUCGAGUAUGACCAUUAAAAUUUGACCUGAUAUAUCCCAGAUAAAGAGCCUGAGAGCAGCUUAUCGCAAAAUAUUUAUGCCUAGUGAAGGAAGUUCUCAUAGCAUUGAAGACCGGCUUGUCGAAUUGGUAUGCCAGGGCAACUGUUCUUCAUUUUAUAAAAUCUUAACAGUUUCGACUAGAGAGAGCGUAGUGGUUGAAGAAAGUGACGAUGAAGAAGUGAUAGAGUUGGAAUUCGAGAGGGCUGUGGACAAAGUUCACACACACACUAUUAAUUAUAAUUAAGUGUCGAGUGAUGACAUAUGCUUAAAUUCUGUUGUCAUAAUAUAAUGUGGAGGUUUAUGUUUUUGGGAGCAGGGGAUUGUUUGAAUCCUUUUGGCUUGUUUAAAUCCAAACCAAAAGUGGAAACCCCCAGAGUUGAAGAUGAGCAGCCACCAAUUUCUGUAGGGGGUACAACAACUAUUACUAAUGCUGGAGGUAUUUUUCUAAAUUAAGAAGCGUUCAUUUUUUAAGGUAUUAAUUGUCUGAAUCCUUUUGAUUGGGCUUUCCAGGAUCCACACGAGGAUUAGAAAGCCCCAACGUGGGCCCAUCAAAUGGCGUAGCGAGUACAACCACUAAUGCUCCAGGUACAACUCCGUUUAUUUCCUGCCAAAAUAUUUGUCAAUUUGCGUUUAGGAGAAGCAAAACCAGUGCAUAAUCCAGCUCAUGCGACAGUUGAUAUUCCAGGUGAAAAAAAACUCAUUCUAAUUAAAUAAAGUUGAGUUAGGGGCAACAUUCAAAGAUUUUAACUAAUGGAAAACUGCAGAGAUGAGCGGUUUACAGCAACCACUAAUUCCUGGCAUUAGGCGGAUGGAGAUGUUGAAAUGCAUCGUGUAUGGAGGUCUAAUCGAGUCGAUCGCGAGCUUGAGCAUCGUCUCAUCUGCAGCUGCUUCCGACGCCACCACAUGUACGUCUUUCCCAUCAUCGAUAUCAAAAUGUAUUGCCAUCUCUAACGGAAUAUAUAAUCUCUGUUUCAGUAAACGUCGUCGUUAUUGGUUUGGCAACCCUACUCAGCGGCGUCUUCGCUUUUGCCUGCAACGUAAGUAGACACUGUUUCUAAACAUUUAUUUUCGACCAUAGUAUAUGUAAUAUUUCUAUCAAACAUUUGAGGGGGCCGAAGCCCACCCAAAACCGAUACUUGGUUCUUGAUCAAAAGAAUGAUUUAUUCUGUAAGGAGUUGUAGCUUUUCCUCUUGAUGAAAUUUUCUGCGUCCGUCGUCGCUGUUUGCAGCUGGUGGAGCUACGAAACGACUGCUCGGACGACAAGUGUUCGUUAUAAAGAUAUGAUUCAUAAAAUGAAGAAGGGCAGACCUGAGCGACCUCCUUGGAUGAGGCAGAAUGUGUGGGAAAAGUGGUUAGAAUAUUGGAACAAGGAUGAAGUGAAGGCUAAGGCAGCCAAAGCACAAAAGAAUAGGAUGUCUGAGCCUGAUGGGCCUGGUACUGGUAUUUCAAUCCAUAGAGGAGGGUCGAGAAAUGCCCUACAACAUGCUGUAGUACUGGUAAGUCAGUAUUAAUUAAAUACAACUUAAAUUUCUUUAAAUUUUUAUUAACUAUUAUUAAUUUGUUUGAACUGAAGAGAGAACAAGGAGUUCCAGCUGAAGAAGUGGACUGGAGUGUCUUCAAUGUCUUGCAUGCGAAGGCUGGAGAAUUCACCUAUCCCAGAGCUCGAGAUGCAUACGUAUGAAAUCCUUAAAUUAAGUUAUGUCAAAUUCAUCUUUAUGUAUCUAUACUUAAUGAUUAACUUAUAAAGUUUUUAUUAACUACAAAAACAGGCCCAAGUGACUGCUAAGGCUGCAGAGCUAGCUCAAUCUCAGUCAAAUGAUGGCUCUGAGUCUCAGGAGGUAGACAUGAACAGGUUACUACUAGAUGCAGUUGGAGGCGUAUCGGCCAAGAAGCGAGUUUUUGGGAUUGGUCACGUUCUCAUGCUUACACGUCCACCUCUAGAUCUACCAAGGAGCCAGUUUAGCUCACAGCCUCAGCUUGAUGCAGUUUAGCCGAUAAGAUGAAGGAGUACGAGGCUCAGAUGCAGGCUAAGAUGGAGGCUAGAGAGGCGCAGAUACGAGAGGAGGCACAAGCUAGAGAGGCUCAGAUGCGUGCAGACGUACAGGCACAGUUGCAGGCACAGCAAGCCGAGUUCAUGAAGAUGCUAGCUGAGAUGAGGAAUCUACCACCCCCUUGAUUAUGUUUGUUUUAGGAACUUGAAUCUAUUUUGCUAGGUGCUAACUUUGUUAGAUACUAGAAUUUGGAUUGUUAGAUACUUUGUUGAUUAUCGUUGACUGUUGGUUACUAUUUAAAGUUUAUCUAUUAUGUUGCUUGAUGAAAGUAUUAGAAUAUAGGUAAAUAGGAAUUGGUUCAAUUGAGAUUUAUAUAUAUUUUGAGAUUUUGAGAUAAAUGAACAUAUAAGUACAUUUUGAUGAACUUGUCAAUUAAUUUUUAUGAACGCGCGUUGGUCUGGGGUUCAAUCCCUACAAGUGGCGUGUUUUUUAAAUAAAUUAAAUAGAUUCAUAUGUUCAUCAGUUAUAUUGGUUAUGUUCAAAGAAUUUAUUGAUAUGUUCAUUUAUCUCAAAAUCUCAAAAUAUUUAAAAUCUCAAUAUAAGCUAACCCUAGGUAAAUAACAGAAUUAAAAAAAAAAAUAUAUUGGCAGUUUUAGCGACGGAAAUUCCGUCUCAAAAUAAAAAUAAAAAAAAUUCAAAAAAACUGACAAAAAAGUCUAACGACGGAAAUUCUGUCUCAAAAGAACGGCGGCGGCGCCGGAAAGUGAUCGCCGGAAAAUCUAACGACGGAAUCCUUUCCGUCUCAACUAGAGACGGAAUUUCCGUCUCAGUUUCCGUCUCAAAAUUCGGUCAACACACACGACCACCAGUCGGUUAGAGACGGAAUUUCCGUGGCUAUUCUGUCGUUAGAUUUGAGACGGAAAAUAAAAUCUGUCGCUAGAGAAUUUAGCGACCCCGUUAUCAGCGUCCCCGUCGUUCAGUCGUAGUUCUGUCGUAACUAGAAUUUUGAGACGGAAUGUUCGGGAUUUUGAGACGGAAUUUCCGUCGCUAGAAUUAAUUUUUUUUGUAGUGCUUGUUUAGGUUAUUGUUUAGAUUUAUUUUGACAAUUUUUUUGUUUUUUGUUUUUUGUUUUGAGGGACACUUCUGUGAUUUUAUUUGGUAACUUUCGUUUUAGGGACAUAGAACACUUGAUUUUCCACACUAAUAAUUUUACUCGAGCAAAAAUGCUACGUGUGAAGACAAAGAAUUAUGAUUUGCACAGACAAGUUGAAAGGGUUAAGUUUAAAUUGAUUAUAUAAGCUUCCUUCGUUAAUAGGCUAAAAGCGCAUAGUUUCAUUAUGCAAUUGACUUGACUUAAACUAAGCAAGAAAAUCUAUUCUUUUUCAUGCUAUGUUUGAUUUUGCAUAGAAAAUUGAUUCUAGUAUACCUCUCUAUGUCUAUAAUCGAAUGUGGUAAAGACAAAGAAUAAUAGGAAUGAAUUGAUUUCCCAAAUUGCGAAUUACAUUUGAAACUUACAUUCUGGUGGUAAAAUCAUGACAUGCACAGACUAGUCAAAAAAGUGAAGUUAGAAUAUUGAUUAUUAGAUAAGCUUCCCUCAUUUCCCAUUAAAAUGAGAUAAAUGGUCUUUGUCUCCAAUCAAUUUUAACUAAUUAAUUAAUUGGAGUGUGAAAUUGACGAAAAUUAUUUACAAGUGAAGCCAAUUGCAGAAUGAAACUAAAUCAAAUAUAGCCACAUAUCUUUGGUCCCAUCAAUGGAAAAUGAAAUCAAUUCUAACUUCUUUGAUCAGUCUGUUGCGCAGACUAGUCAAAACGGAAGCUUCUUCCAUUUUGCAUUAGUGGGGCCUUAAAAAUGUGGCUAUUUUUUUAUUUAGUUUCAUUCUGCAAUUGGGUUGACUUGUAAAUCAUCUUUGUCGCUUUUGCCUCCAAAAUUCUACCUUCACCACAAUUAUUUUUUGAGAAGCUUAUAAGUUCUCGGAGCUUAUUUUUACAGAUUAUAAGCUGAUUAGGAGUUUAUUUUGCCAAACACUUUGAAAUGUAUUUUGAAGAGCUUAUAAGCUUAGCCAAACACCCUCUAAGUCUGGGAGUGUAUUCAAUGAUAUAAUGACUCAGAAGCGUCAUUAAUGUGUUUGGUACAACAUUAAAUCAUGGCAUUAACUUUUCCCAUUUUCCACAACUACCUUAUAGUGACUUAAUUCAUUUCCCUAAUUUCGAAUAUCAUUUGAAACUUUCAGACAAAAUAACUGUUGCUCGAAAUGAUUAUAGAAGCUUCUUUCAUUUUCCAUUAAUGGGACCUAAAAAAUGUGGCCAUAUAAAUGGCAUGAGCUAGUCUUCUUGUCUGCACACACAACUACAAUUAGCACUCCGCAUUUGCGAUAUGGAGAGAGUUUCUUCCUAUUUUCUCAUCCUUGCACUACUCUUACCAAUCCAUUAUUUGAUGGAUUAUAGCUCAGCCAAAAACGAUAUCAACACCGAUCGUUCUUCACUUCUCGCCUUAAAAUCCCAAAUCACAUUAGAUCCUCAAAAUAUAUUGACCCAAAAUUGGAGCACUGAAGCCAGUGUUUGUAGUUGGAUCGGAGUUACUUGUGAUUCACAUUACAAUAGGGUGACUCAGUUGAAUAUAUCGGACAUGGGUCUUGUGGGAACCCUCCCACCAGAAAUUGGGAAUCUUUCUUCUCUCGUUUCUUUAGAAGCGAACGAGAACUCCUUUCAUGGCCCCAUUCCCCCAUCUAUCUUCAACAUGUCAUUUCUAGAAGUUUUGGAAGUAAGGUAUAAUAGUUUGUCUAGUAGUUUACCUCUUGAUAUGUGCAAACACAAUCUGCAUAGACUCAAGAGGCUUCGUUUGUCUUACAACAUGGUGUUGUAUGGGGAAAUACCAUCGAGUUUGGGGCAGUGUUCACAGCUUGAGUAUCUGUCUUUGUACGUCAACAAUUUCACUGGAUUUGUGCCGACAGAAAUUGGGAACUUGACGAAGCUUCAAGAGUUGUACCUUGGUGCAAAUAAGUUGACUGGUAAGUUCAUUCCUAUAUUUAUGAGGUCAAAUCAUUUAAUGCCAUAUUAUACGUUUCAAUCUAGAAUAAUUAGUGGAAUAAAUAUCAUUAUACUUAAAAUAGUAUACUGCUCAAUCUCCCAACCGAUCGAAUCGCGUAUUUUAUUUAUUAUUGUUAUGAUCGUUAUGCUUAACAAUAUGGAACUUGACUUUGAUGACUUCAUUAUUCUCCAGGUACUAUUCCGAAAGAGAUCCGAAAUCUUCAUAAUUUGCAGUACAUGUGGUUGGAUUCCAACGAACUUAGCGGAUCAAUUCCGAGAGAAGUGGGGAACAUGACAGCUUUGGUCAGCUUAAGCCUCGACAAUAAUCGUUUAAGUGGUAUCAUUUAUUAUCACCUAGCCACAAGUUUAGCUCCGCAAGCUAGCUUGCGAUUUAAUUUCUUUUUUUUGGGAUUCCCACAAACUUAGUGGAGCUUUAAUUGCACACACAAAUUUGGAAUAUUAGAACUCUUUGUCGCUCACACCUUUUUAACAUUUAUUUAACUUUUCCGCCAGGUACUAUUCCUAAAGAGAUUGGAAAUCUUCGUAAUUUACAGUUCUUAAUUUUGUCUUCCAACAAACUUAGUGGAUCAAUCCCGAGAGAAGUGGGAACAUGACAGCUCUUAACGACUUACAGCUCUACAAUAAUAGUUUAAGUGGUAUGAUUUAUUAUUUAGCUAGCCACAAGUUUAGGUAAAGAUAAUAUUGUUUGUUAAAAUAUUAAAAUAGUAUACAGCUCAAUCUCCCAACCGAUCGAAUCGCGUAUUUUAUUUAUUAUUGUUAUGAUCGUUAUACUUAACAAUAUGGAACUUGACUUUGAUGACUUCAUUAUUCUCCAGGUACUAUUCCGAAAGAGAUUGGAAAUCUUCAUAAUUUGCAGGACAUGCGGUUGCAUUCCAACGAACUUAGCGGAUCAAUCCCAAGAGAAGUGGGGAACAUGACAGCUCUUAUGAACUUAUACCUCGACUAUAAUAGAUUAAGUGGUAUGAUUUAUUAUUCACCUAGCCACAAGUUUAGCUCCUCAAGCUAGCUUACGAGUUAAUUUCUUUUUCUCUUAUUUCAUUUGAUCUUCUUUAAUUAAGAGGUAUGUUGGCUUGAAGUUGGUAGGGGUCAUACAUUGUCUUGUGGGAUUAUUCUCCAGGUACUAUUCCGAAAGAGAUUGGAAAUCUUCAUAAUUUGCAGGACAUGUGGUUGGGUUCCAACGAACUUAGCGGAUCAAUCCCAAGAGAAGUGGGGAACAUGACAGCUCUUAUGAACUUAUACCUCGACUAUAAUAGAUUAAGUGGUAUGAUUUAUUAUNACAAAUUUGGAAUAUUAGAACUCUUUGUCGCUCACACCUUUUUAACAUUUAUUUAACUUUUCCGCCAGGUACUAUUCCUAAAGAGAUUGGAAAUCUUCGUAAUUUACUGUUUAUAGAUUUGUCUUCCAACGAACUUAGCGGAUCAAUCCCGAGAGAAAUGGGGAACAUGACAGCUCUUGACAUGUUAUGGCUCGACAAUAAUACUUUAAGUGGUAUGAUUUAUUAUUUAGCUAGCCACAAGUUUAGGUAAAGAUAAUAUUGUUUGUUAAAAUCUUAAAAUAGUAUAAAGCUCAAUCUCCCAACCGACCGAAUCGCGUAUUUUAUUUAUUAUUGUUAUGAUCGCUAUACUUAACAAUAUCGAACUUGACUUUGAUGACUUCAUUAUUCUCCAGGUACUAUUCCGAAAGAGAUUGGAAAUCUUCAUAGUUUACACAUCAUGCAGUUGGGUCCAACAAACUUAGCGGAUCAAUCCCAAGAGAAGUGGGGAACAUGACCGCUCUUAUCAGCUUACAGCUCGACAAUAAUAGUUUAAGUGGUAUGAUUUAUUAUUCACCUAGCCACAAGUUUAGCUCCUCAAGCUAGCUUACGAGUUAAUUUCUUUUUCUCUUAUUUCAUUUUAUCUUCUUUAAUUAUACUAUGUUAAAAAGAAUGCAAUACAUCUAUACUAAUAUAAAAUGAGCUUUGGACACAACACACAACAUGUGGAUUGUCUCUCUAUUUUACACUUAUUACAUGUUUUAUUUUAAAGUUAUUUUACAUAUUAUAUAUUUAUAAAAAUAUAUUAAUUCAUCAGAUAUUAUACUAAAACUAUGUGAUAUAUAUCUAUAGUUGUUGAUAAGGCUUAUAAAUAAAUAUAUCUAUCAAAUAAAUUAUUCACCUUAAUUCACGUGCCCAAAAGUUUUUGAGACACUUAUAGUGGGACGGAGGGAGUAUUUAGUAGAAGUAAUAAACUAAUAGAUUUUCUAAAAAAAAAUUAUUGUAUGACUAAAUAGACCAAAUUGUUAAUUGAAAAAUUAAAUAUAAUAAAUAUUAUAUUUAUAUUUUUUUAUUUUUAUCAAAUAAAAUAACAUUAAUUAUGCAUACAAUAUACGCUCUUUCUCCUAGUUCCUUAUAAUAUUUUGUUUUUUUUUUUUUUGAAAAAUAUAGUUCCUUGUAAUUGUUAAGUAAGAUGUUAAACCUUAUGUAAACCAAAUGUUUUGUGCAUUUUUAGAUAUAAAGAAAUUUGAUUCAUGUCCUUCUGUCUUUCAAGUAAUAAAUUUGAAGGUCUCGUACUAACUUUCAGGUCAAAUACCAUCUACCAUUGGGAAUAUUCUAUCAUUGAGUGUUCUACAACUCUCUUCCAACAAAUUAAUCGGUGAGCUUCCAUCCUCCAUCUGUAACUUGACAUCUCUUUGGUUUCUUCUUCUCUCGGAUAACACUUUGGAAGGAACAAUUCCACAAUGCUUUGGAAACUUGAGCUCUUUGAGCAUCUUUCAUUUAAAUAAAAAUCAAUUUCGUGGUCUCAUUCCAGCAACAUUUAGCAAGGGAUGUAGUCUUGAAUCCAUCAAUUUGAAUGGUAACAAAUUGCAAGGACCAUUACCUAAAUCCUUGAUCAAUUGCGGAAGUCUACGAGGCCUCGAUGUUGGAAACAAUAGAAUACAAGACGAAUUUCCCUUUUGGAUGGAUGGCCUCCCUUGGCUUCGAGUGUUGGUCUUGAGGUCUAACAAGUUUGAUGGGAACAUGUCACUUCUAUCACAAACCAAGAUUCCAUUUCCUAAUUUACAAGUUUUAGAUAUAUCUCAUAAUAGAUUUGUGGGUUCUCUGCCUCAAAGAUAUUUCAAGAAUUUCAGACGAAUGAUAGAGGUAAAUGAAACAAACUUGUCAAAUGACGACGACCUUCUUCGUUAUGUGGAGAUGAGGCUCACCUUGAAAGGGACUGGAUCAAUUAUUAGAGAGAUUGUUGUCAGCCUUACAGCAAUGACUUAUCCUCCAAUAGGUUUUCUGGGAGUAUUCCAAAUUACCAUAGGAAAUCUUAAGAUUCUCAAAUACUUGAAUUUAUCCCACAAUAACCUCAUUGGAAAUAUACCUUCAUCUCUUGCAAAUAUGAGUGAACUUGAAUCUUUGGACUUGUCCGUGAACAAGUUGGAUGGAGAAAUUCCAAGUGAAUUGACAAGGUUGACAUUUCUUGCGAAAUUAAACCUUUCAACGAAUAAUCUUGUGGGGCAAAUACCACAGUCUAAGCAGUUUUCCACAUUCGAGAAUGAUUCAUACGUCGGAAACUUGGGACUGUGUGGAGUUCCGUUGACGAGAAAAUGCAACAACGAGAAUGGGCAUCGGAUGCAGCCAGAAGAAGAAGAUGGCGAAGAUGAUGAGUAUGGAUUUAUAGAUGGAUUUGGAUGGAGAAGUGUGGUGAUGGGAUAUGGAAGUGGAUUCAUAGUUGGGAUUGGAAUUGGUUACAUCAUUAUUAGAAAUGGAAGGCCAAGAUGGUUAGUGGAAUUCUUUUUCGGCAUUGGAUAUAAUAAUAAGAAGAAGAAGAAGAGACGCAGCAGAGCUACACCAACACCAACACACAGGAGAACUUAAUUGAAGGAUUGUGCUCGAAUUGUGUUUUCUUUUUCUUAUCUCCUUUUUAAUGGCUACUUUAGUGUGUUUGUGCUCGAUUUCAACUUUAGAGUUUAUGAAAUAUUAUUGUUUGUUCGUGUUGUUAUGUCUUGAAUCUCCCGUUUUGAACUACGGGGCUCUCGCUGAGAUCUAUAAAUACUAUAAAUACUUGAGAUCUGUAAUCUGUAACCCUAGCCGCAUAAUAAAAUCUGCCAUCCUCUCUGUCCGUGGAUGUAGCCAUAUUGGUGAA
rnacentral:lncRNA from 1 species